rnacentral:lncRNA from 1 species
UUUUCUCAGACUGCAAGUACAAAGUGAUAAAAGAAACGUCUUUUACAUCCCUUCCUUCUCUUGGCCACACUAGCCUGGACUCUCAUGACUGCUUUCUUAGACUGUUCAAAUAGCUUCUUCCCUAGUUGGGAGGCAGCAUGAUUUUUAACACUGGAUACCCCACACCUCUGGUAGUUAGGAGGCCUGUGCCAGUAACACCCAGCAUAAAGCAUGAGUAAAUUACAUACGGGUGCAGUAUGGAGUUGAACUGGAUUACUACCUCUGAGGUCUUCCUAGCCAUAAAACAGAAGAUGUACUUUGUGAUU